AUAAAUAAAAUCUUUAAAAAAAAUAAAAUCAGAAUCAUACAGAGAAGUUUAGCAUGGUCGCUGCUCACAGAUGACCUGCAAAUUCGUGAAGUGUUCCAUAUUUUG